rnacentral:rRNA from 1 species
UCCAGACUCCUACGGGAGGCAGCAGUGAGGAAUAUUGGUCAAUGGGCGGAAGCCUGAACCAGCCAAGUCGCGUGAGGGAUGACGGUCCUACGGAUUGUAAACCUCUUUUGCCGGGGAGCAAGCGUGCGUUCGUGAACGCGCGUCGAGAGUACCCGGAGAAAAAGCAUCGGCUAACUCCGUGCCAGCAGCCGCGGUAAUACGGAGGAUGCGAGCGUUAUCCGGAUUUAUUGGGUUUAAAGGGUGCGUAGGCGGGAUGCCAAGUCAGGGGUAAAAAUGCGGUGCUCAACGCCGUCGAGCCGUUGAAACUGGCGUUCUUGAGUGGGCGAGAAGUAUGCGGAAUGCGUGGUGUAGCGGUGAAAUGCAUAGAUAUCACGCAGAACUCCGAUUGCGAAGGCAGCAUACCGGCGCCCUACUGACGCUGAGGCACGAAAGCGUGGGUAUCGAACAGGAUUAGAUACCCCAGUAGC